rnacentral:lncRNA from 1 species
UAAAGUUGUAUCCACAAGCCCUCCUGUCAUGGAGAUCAAAUCCAAAUGUUCCUACGUUCGAGAAAUACGCUACUAACGAUCCUCGAAUUACGGAUAAAAUCAAGAGAGAAGAAUCAAGAGAGAAGAAUCAAGAGAGAAACAGAUUUGUACCCACAUCAUUUAUCAAUAAAGUUGUUGUUUCUUCAUAUUUUUAUUUGUAGUUGAAGUUUAUUUUCCAUGAAUUAAAUUAUGUUGGAAAUAAAUUGACACGCCCAAUGGGACCAAGUCUGCCUUCAUCUCUUCUCUCAUAAAUUAUACAUGUAAUUCUGUAGCCGCAAGGCAUAAAGAUGGAAGCUUUAUGGGUACUUCAAUACACUCGUCUUUGAGUUUCAUCAAGUCUACAGCCGACAAGCCUUGAAACAGGGGACAUUUGUAGACAUAAAAAUUUGUGGACUUUAUAAGAAAAUUCAAUUUCUGUUAGAGUUUUAAAAUUUAUGAGACUUUUCAAGAAGAAUUCAAAUUCUAUUAGAGUUCUUGGAGGCUACUCUAUCCAAAACCCUAAAUUAUGUCUAUAUAAAGGGGCAAAUAUCCUUUAAAAGAUAUCUCGAAAGUACCAAUAAAUUCAUAGGAUAUUCAUAUAGGGAUCAAAACCUCUUGAUAAUUAAAUACAUCAAGAAGAUCCACAAGCCCUCCUGUCAUGGAGGUCAAAUCCAAAUGUUCCUACGUUCGAGAAAUAUGACACUAACGGCCCUCAAAUUAUGGAGAAAAUCAAGAGAGAAUUAUGAAGAAAAUCAAAAGAGAAGACAGAUUUGUACCCACAUCAUUUAUCAAUAAAGUUGUUGUAUCAAGAAGAUCCACAAGCCCUCCUGUCAUGGAGAUCAAAUCCAAAUGUUCCUACGUUCGAAAAAUAUGUCACUAACGGUACCCACAUCAUUUAUCAAUAAAGUUGAUGUUUCUUUAUACUUUUAUCUGUGGUUGAAGUUUAUUUUCCAUGAAAUAAAAUAUAUUGGAAACAAAGUUCACAUAAAAUAAAUAAUUCUAACACAGUAUACAUAUACAUAUAUAACAACACCUACAAACGUUGCCGCUAGGUUUGACUAUACUCCCUCCAUUAAAAUCGAUGAAAGAGGUUGUUGGGGUUCUUACAGUAAUAGAGUAAUCAUUGGCUGAAUGCAGAGAGAAGCAACCAAACCUUUCAAUGAAAAUCCUAACCUCCAUGUUAGCCCAAAUCUUUCCCUUGUGAGCUUUUCGGUUAUAGCACCCCUUGAAGCUGUAACCACAGGCACCAUGGCACCAGAAAAUCUGGUGGCAUUACCCCACGAAGAUACUAAUCGGGUCGAAUAACCUCAGAUGCUGGAUUAAUCAGCUCAAAAAAGGAAGAAAAAUUGUCAGAAAUCAGCAUCGCCACUUUCAAGUCGUCCGACUAUACCGAGUUUGAAGCUGAAAGGACUAACUUUUGGAGGAAAAAUGUCAAAGGGACAAUGGCUCCAUUCUAUCGGGACCUAUUUGGUUUAUUUUUGCCCUGGGCUGAACUCCCUGAUCUUCCUUGUCCGUUUUAAUAACACUUUUGGCCGCUCACAUCAUCACCUCCUUCUUGCUAUUUGGCUUUAUUAGCUCAGCUGAGGUCUCUCUUUGAUCAUUCCUGUCGCAAGCAAGACGCGAAUAGAGCUGUCUUUCACCAGAGGAGAAUACUUCAUUGAAGUUCUAGAACAGGGGCGGAGGCUAUCAAUCCAAUUUCAUAAUUAGUUAGUACACUACUUAGUCGAAUAAUAAAAAGUUCUCUUUUUAAUCCUAUUUAAAUUCUGUCGGGUGGAUACAAUUAAACCCAACUAUCAUUGACUCAGGCUCUAACUCUUUUUUUUUCGUUUUCAUAUUGAACGGGAUCCGUAGUAAUCAAGAGGUUGUCCAGUAAGAAAG